rnacentral:lncRNA from 1 species
UUGAGCUUCCAGAGUUGAACUUGUUGUUGUGAGCUUUGUAUGGCUGUAUCUAAGAGCCAAAUUUCUUGUUGAGAGUGUGUUCUUGUUUAAGACCUGAAAUAAGUGUUAAAUUGAAUUGUUCUAACUAUUUAGAGUUGUGCAGUCUUCUUUUUGGUUGAUCUUUACAGGUAUAAAUGUUGUCCAGAAGUUGAAUUAUCAGUAGUUGCAACAGUGUGCAUAAUUGAUUAGUUGGAGCACGCCAAAAGCAGUCAUCUAAAUUGAAGGGAGUUUCUUCUACCUUCAAAUACUUUUACUGUGAUUGA